UACGUAGGGGGCGAGCGUUGUCCGGAAUUAUUGGGCGUAAAGAGCGUGUAGGCUGUUCGGUAAGUCUGCCGUGAAAACCUGAGGCUCAACCUCGGGCGUGCGGUGGAUACUGCCGGGCUAGAGGACGGUAGAGGCGAGUGGAAUUCCCGGUGUAGCGGUGAAAUGCGCGGAUAUCGGGAGGAACACCAGUAGCGAAGGCGGCUCGCUGGGACGUUACUGACGCUGAGACGCGAAAGCGUGGGGAGCAAAAGGG
rnacentral:rRNA from 1 species